rnacentral:tRNA from 1 species
GGUCAAGCGGUUAAGACACCGCCCUUUCACGGCGGUAACACGGGUUCGAGUCCCGUCGAGA